rnacentral:rRNA from 1 species
AACGAACGCUGGCGGCAUGCCUAACACAUGCAAGUCGAACGAGACCUUCGGGUCUAGUGGCGCACGGGUGCGUAACGCGUGGGAACCUGCCCUUAGGUUCGGAAUAACUCAGAGAAAUUUGAGCUAAUACCGGAUAAUGUCUUCGGACCAAAGAUUUAUCGCCUUUGGAUGGGCCCGCGUAGGAUUAGCUUGUUGGUGGGGUAAUGGCCUACCAAGGCGACGAUCCUUAGCUGGUCUGAGAGGAUGAUCAGCCACACUGGGACUGAGACACGGCCCAGACUCCUACGGGAGGCAGCAGUGGGGAAUAUUGGACAAUGGGCGAAAGCCUGAUCCAGCAAUGCCGCCUGAGUGAUGAAGGCCUUAGGGUUGUAAAGCUCUUUUACCAGGGAUGAUAAUGACAGUACCUGGAGAAUAAGCUCCGGCUAACUCCGUG